UUACGGCCAAAUCACGUUGAAACACCAGUUCUCGUACUAUCGCCGAAGUUAAGCAAUGUCAAGCCUGGUCAGUACAUAGAUGGGUGACCGCUUAGAAAUACCAGGCG